AGCGAACGCUGGCGGUAGGCCUAACACAUGCAAGUCGAACGGCAGCACAGUAAGAGCUUGCUCUUACGGGUGGCGAGUGGCGGACGGGUGAGGAAUACAUCGGAAUCUACUUUUUCGUGGGGGAUAACGUAGGGAAACUUACGCUAAUACCGCAUACGACCUACGGGUGAAAGCAGGGGAUCUUCGGACCUUGCGCGAUUGAAUGAGCCGAUGUCGGAUUAGCUAGUUGGCGGGGUAAAGGCCCACCAAGGCGACGAUCCGUAGCUGGUCUGAGAGGAUGAUCAGCCACACUGGAACUGAGACACGGUCCAGACUCCUACGGGAGGCAGCAGUGGGGAAUAUUGGACAAUGGGCGCAAGCCUGAUCCAGCCAUACCGCGUGGGUGAAGAAGGCCUUCGGGUUGUAAAGCCCUUUUGUUGGGAAAGAAAAGCAGCAGGUUAAUACCCCGCUGUUCUGACGGUACCCAAAGAAUAAGUACCGGCUAACUUCGUG
rnacentral:rRNA from 1 species